AUGACCUCCACCAUGGCCUGGUGCCCUCUUCUCCUCACCCUCCUCACUCACUGCACAGGGUCCUGGGCCCAGUCUGUGCUGACUCAGCCGGCCUCAGUGUCUGCGGUCCUGGGCCAGAGGGUCACCAUCUCCUGCACUGGAAGCAGCUCCAACAUCGGUGGAAAUUACGUGAGUUGGCACCAGCAGCUCCCAGAAACAGGCCCCAGAAACAUCAUCUAUGCUGAUAACUACCGAGCCUCAGGGGUUCCUGAUCGAUUCUCUGGCUCCAAGUCAGGCAGCACAGCCACCCUGACCAUCUCUGUGCUCCAGGCUGAGGAUGAGGCUGAUUAUUACUGCUCAGUGGGGGAUGAUAGUCUCAAAGCACCCACGGUGCCCCAGGCCUGUGGGGAAGUGAGACAAAAACCUAUUUAG